ACUUUAAUAGCUUAUUUUUAAAGCAUAAUAUUGAAGAUAUUAGGAAAGUAGUUUUACUUUAAAGUAU
rnacentral:tRNA from 1 species